UGCCUCUAGAGAUUGUCCCUCCAUGCCAGGUUAGAGGCACAUUGGCUGCAGCAGCAUGUGAAAUCUGCCAAAUGCAGUAGUUGUUUUCCUCUUGAGCAUGACUUCAUCUUUCAAAGCUGUCAGUUGAGCACUGUUUCAUGGGGAAGGGAAGGUAACAGGAUGAGAAGAACAGCAGGAAGCUUUCUUGCCUCUUGUAGAAGAGUCAAUGAACUUUCGGAGAUAUAAACAGAAACGGAACCAUUUUAAUAUUCAUCUCUUGAGGCAUUGAAGGGGACAGAGGUCUUCAAAUUAUACAACAUUGGAUCCUUCAGACAAGAGGACUGAAGUAUCUGGGAACUGACUUUAGAAAGAGCUAAGACAACCUCCAAAUGACAUCAGAAUAGAGAGCCUCAUCCUUCUCUCACCUACUUCUACAUACUGUAACCUCCCUGACUCCAUCAGAGUCACUCCUGAUUUGUACCAGUAAAAGUCUGAGGAGAAUCAAGCCAAGCAAGUUUUUGUUUGUCUUUUAAUUUUUGGAAGAGGUGCCCUUCUGUUUCUAAUUCAUGUGUGUGGGGGAGUGUGCUGCUAACAAAUGUCCCUCUGAAAUAUUUCAGUGGAAAGAAAAAAAGACCUAGACUGAAGUAAAACCUUAAUGUGAGGACUAGAGCCGUCACCAGGUACAAGCUGACUAAACAAUUGCUUAGGGCCCCAAUCAGCUCAAGCGGGGCCCCCUUAGUAUGUGUUGUGUGUGGGGGGAGGGGAGGUGGAAUAUUCAUGUUGAAGGCCCCCAAUAGCUUAGCACCACCUCCAGUGAGGACUCCAUUUUUUGUUGUUAUUUUAACAAUUUUUACUAUAAUCUGAGACUGCAUAACAUGCUUAACUCUGAUGUAGUUUGUAUUCAAUAUACAUUAAGAAACGGUAUAUAUAAUGGUAUAGUUGGCUGGUGUCUUUCAGAAGACUGUUUAAAUGGAAAGAAAAUACAAGGCUUUGCUAAUAAUAAAUAAGAUGUACAAGUAAUCUUCCCCAUCUGUUGUAUUUAAAAUGAGGGUAUACGGUAACUGCAUAGUUUUCAAAUGACAAAACAGAAGUCCUGCACUCUAGUUGGUAUUAAAAAAUGCCAUGGCAAUCUUCAUGAGUAUGGAUGUUAAUGCAGUGAUUUGGUUGAAUUCUAAUAUGAGGUAUACUUAAUCUUGCCUCAGUGUAGAGAAAUAGACUAGAUGUCCUCUGAAGUCUCUUCUACUCCUACAUUUCUAUAAUUCUGUGCUCUCUCAGUAUGGUGUUUCCUGGGUCCUUUACAUGUCUAUUCCCAGACAUUGUAAUAUUUGAGGGGUUUUAAAGAUGUAGAUUUUUUAGUAAAGAAAAUAUACUGGUAAUAAUGUUUUUGGGAAUUACCUAGACUCCAAUGAAACACACUUUGGACAUUAGCUCUCCUUAAGAAAGUUUUCAGUUUGGAUGUUGUCAUGGUUACAUGGUGAGCUGUGUCUUAGACCCCUUUACAGUUCCUCUUCACUGCACUCAGGUGACAGGUUUCACUACCAUCACCCUUCCCUGGUGGAACCACAUGUUCCUUACCACUCUGAGACUGGUCUUUGGGCAAGAGACCCUUGUUUACCAAUUGUGAUAAGUCAACAGGCCCAGUUGUAUUUGGCAUCCGCAAGAAACUUUCUUCUGCGUGCCUCUGACCAGUAGCUGAUUAAAGUGAUUCAAAACAACUUCAAAACAACUAUAUAGACCCAAAUCUACAUAGCACUAAAAGAAAAGGAUUAGAACAAAAAAAAAGUCUAAGAGCCAGGGUCUUACCAAAAGCUUAUCAUUUCUCUCAAACCUUGGGUAAGACUAACUACUCCAGACCCUUCCUGCAGAGCCUGUGUCUCAGUCUGUUCUGUUCUCUGCAAACAACCCCCUAUGACUGAACCCCUCAAGCCUUCUAGAAAGUGAUUUGUAACUCUUCAGCUACAGGCCUUCAGGUUGGCAAACAAGCUCUGUAACUUUUGGCUAAUGCCUAGAAAUAGCCUCUUCCCAAUUAUUGACUGAGCCAUUGUUCUCUUAACACACUUGAUGUCUUACCCAAAGAUGUCUUAUCUCUGGUCAUUGUUUCAUUUCCCACCUGUUCUUCCCCCUCUUGAUUUAAUGUCAUGUAGACUGACCCAAUAAUAUCAAGCUGGUAAACUGAGGUACACCUAAUAUUUAUAAAAAAUUAGACAUCUCCCUCAUUCUCCACUAUAAGGACCCAGUCCAAUCCCCAUACAUUAAUUGCAAAAUGCCUAAAAGCCGAAUAAAGUUUUGUCCAUCAAAGGAAUCAUUUUGUGAAGUCAAUUGAUUUGUUUCUGCUAAUGCCAAAUAUUAAUUUGGUCUGUUGAUUACUAUGGGAUCAGGAUUUGGCCCUGUCAGUGAAAUCCUGGCUCCACUGAAGUCAAUGGGAGUUGACUUCAAAAGGGUCAGGAUUUCACCAUACAUGCAAUUGAUUAUUACAGGCAUGAUCAUGAAAUACUAGCUUCCCUGCAAAAUUUCAUGAUUUUGAAAUAUUUUUGUUUUACUAUCUGGAAAACAUGUCAUGGGAGACUGAGGUAUAUUUUGUUUGGUAACUAUACUUUUUCAGUCAUUAAGUGUGACUACUGUGACUAGUGUGGCUGGUCAGUUUAUCCACUAAAAAUUAUGGUAUUAAGCUUAUGUACCAGUAGUAGGCUCUGCACUUAAUGACUCUGUGUAUAAAUUGAGACCAAUUCAUUCUAUUGUAACCUGACAUUGUUACUUGCUGGUUGUCUUUGAAGAGUCAGAUUGUGAGGAGAUUUGAAUCCACAGAGUGAGAUAAUUCUACACUUCUGUUCUGCAAUAAAA